rnacentral:rRNA from 1 species
AGCGCAGGCGGUUUGGCAAGUCUAAAGUGAAAGCCCGGGGCUUAACCUCGGAAGGGCUUUGGAUACUGCUGAACUUGAGUUCGUGAGAGGAGAGCGGAAUUCCAGGUGUAGCGGUGAAAUGCGUAGAUAUCUGGAGGAACACCGGUGGCGAAGGCGGCUCUCUGGCGCGAUACUGACGCUGAGGCUCGAAAGCAUGGGGAGCGAACG